ACAUCCAGAGAACUUAGCAGAGAUGCUUGGUGCCUUCGGGAACUCUGAGACAGGUGCUGCAUGGCUGUCGUCAGCUCGUGUUGUGAAAUGUUGGGUUAAGUCCCGNAACGAGCGCAACCCUUAUCCUUUGUUGCCAGCGGCUCGGCCGGGAACUCAAAGGAGACUGCCGGUGAUAAACCGGAGGAAGGUGGGGAUGACGUCAAGUCAUCAUGGCCCUUACGGCCAGGGCUACACACGUGCUACAAUGGCGCAUACAAAGAGAAGCGACCUCGCGAGAGUAAGCGGACCUCAUAAAGUGCGUCGUAGUCCGGAUUGGAGUCUGCAACUCGACUCCAUGAAGUCGGAAUCGCUAGUAAUCGUAGAUCAGAAUGCUACGGUGAAUACGUUCCCGGGCCUUGUACACACCGCCCGUCACACCAUGGGAGUGGGUUGCAAAAGAAGUAGGUAGCUUAACCUUCGGGAGGGCGCUUACCACUUUGUGAUUCAUGACUGGGGUGAAGUCGUAACAAGGUAGGCGUAGCGAG
rnacentral:rRNA from 1 species